rnacentral:tRNA from 1 species
GGGAAUUUGGCUCAGUGGUAGAGCGCUUGCCUAGCAAGCACAAGGCCCUGGGUUCGGUCCCCAGCUCU